AUGACCAGUCGACUGGUUUCUGUGCCAAAGGGUGUGCUGAUAUUGUGUACUCCGGGACUUCCCUGCUGGCCGGACCAAUAUGUAUCUGUAUCUUGAAAUCAAGGAUCCAUUUAUUCUAUCAAUCUGGUGCUAUAUUUUCGUGAUCAUGGACACUUGACUCAGAUUAAUUAUUAGCAUCGAGAUAAUGCUAGAUAGUGUUUGGAGAAAGGCCUGCAAGUAUUAUUUUUUUAAGGAAAAUGCUCGCAAAUGUUGAUAACAUUACAACUAAUGCCAAUAUUCCAUGAUAAUAAUCGUAUCUUUGUGCUGUUUCCAGGCUAUAGUUGCUCAGGUGAACCAUGCAAUCGGUGCCGAGAGAAUUAUCAACACAGAAUGUAAAGAAGAGGUGAGCCAGUACGGAGAGAUGACCCUUCACUUGUUAUUGGUACAGACAAAGCCACAGAAAGUGUGCAGUCUUUGAUGUAACGGAAUUGAAUCUGUUGUGGGUAAAAAAAAUGUCGGCUCGGUCGUUAUUUGCACAGCCUGUGAGAUGGCCAUUGUGUGGAUAGAGAACCAGCUUCGUGAAACAAAACGAAGGAGCUGAUACUGCAAUAUGUUAACCAGGUCACUACUACCUUUGUGAUUUGCUCUGACCUUUCUCUGAUGUAAUUCUAAAAAAGAGUUAGUUGGUGAC